GACGAACGCUGGCGGCGUGCCUAACACAUGCAAGUCGAACGGAGAUACGAUUUCGGUUGUAUCUUAGUGGCGAACGGGUGAGUAACGCGUGAGCAACCUGACCUUCAGAGGGGGAUAACAUUUGGAAACAGAUGCUAAUACCGCAUAAGACCACGACACGACAUCGGGAUGAGGUCAAAGGAGCAAUCCGCUGAAGGAGGGGCUCGCGUCCCAUUAGAUAGAUGGCGGGGUAACGGCCCACCAUGUCGACGAUGGGUAGCCGAGCUGAGAGGCUGAUCGGCCACACUGGAACUGAGACACGGUCCAGACUCCUACGGGAGGCAGCAGUGGGGAAUAUUGGGCAAUGGGCGCAAGCCUGACCCAGCAACGCCGCGUGAGGGAAGAAGGCUUUCGGGUUGUAAACCUCUGUCCUUGGUGACGAAACAAAUGACGGUAGCCAAGGAGGAAGCUCCGGCUAACUACGUGCCAGCAGCCGCCGUAA
rnacentral:rRNA from 1 species